rnacentral:rRNA from 1 species
CUCCACUACGGGGCGCAGCAGUGGGGAAUCUUCCGCAAUGGGCGCAAGCCUGACGGAGCAAUGCCGCGUGAACGAAGAAGGUCUUCGGAUUGUAAAGUUCUGUCCUUAUCGAAGAGAGGGUAUAGAGUGAAAAAUGAUAUACUAGGACGGUAGAUGAGGAGGAAGCCCCGGCUAACUACGUGCCAGCAGCCGCGGUAAUACGUAGGGGGCGAGCGUUGUCCGGAAUCACUGGGCGUAAAGGGCGCGUAGGCAGUAAUAUAAGUCAGAUGUGAAAGGGGGGGGCUCAACCCCUAAAGUGCAACGUG